ACCUGGCUGGCUCAGUUGGUAGAGUGUGUGACUCUUGAUCUUGGGAUUGUGAGUUCAUGCCCCACGUUGGGUA
rnacentral:tRNA from 1 species